GACGAACGCUGGCGGCGUGCCUAAUACAUGCAAGUAGAACGCUGAAGGAGGAGCUUGCUUCUCUGGAUGAGUUGCGAACGGGUGAGUAACGCGUAGGUAACCUGCCUGGUAGCGGGGGAUAACUAUUGGAAACGAUAGCUAAUACCGCAUAAGAGUAGAUGUUGCAUGACAUUUGCUUAAAAGGUGCAAUUGCAUCACUACCAGAUGGACCUGCGUUGUAUUAGCUAGUUGGUGGGGUAACGGCUUACCAAGGCGACGAUACAUAGCCGACCUGAGAGGGUGAUCGGCCACACUGGGACUGAGACACGGCCCAGACUCCUACGGGAGGCAGCAGUAGGGAAUCUUCGGCAAUGGACGGAGGUCUGACCGAGCAACGCCGCGUGAGUGAAGAAGGUUUUCGGAUCGUAAAGCUCUGUUGUAAGAGAAGAACGAGUGUGAGAGUGGAAAGUUCACACUGUGACGGUAUCUUACCAGAAAGGGACGGCUAACUACGUG
rnacentral:rRNA from 1 species